UAAGACGUAGGGGGCGAGCGUUGUCCGGAUUCAUUGGGCGUAAAGAGCGCGCAGGCGGCCGAGCAAGUCGGUUGUGAAAUCCCGUGGCUCAACCACGGAACCGCAUCCGAAACUGCUCGGCUAGAGGUAGGUAGGGGAGAUCGGAAUUCCUGGUGUAGCGGUGAAAUGCGCAGAUAUCAGGAGGAACACCGGUGGCGAAGGCGGAUCUCUGGGCCUUACCUGACGCUCAGGCGCGAAAGCUAGGGGAGCGAACAGGAUUAGAUACCCUGGUAGUCCUAGCUGUAAACGUUGGGUGCUAGGUGUGGGCGGAUAUCAACCCCGUCCGUGCCGAAGCUAACGCAUUAAGCACCCCGCCUGGGGAGUACGGCCGCAAGGCUA
rnacentral:rRNA from 1 species